CUCAGAUAAUAACCACUCUGUUCAAGUAAUAAUAAUAUGACACACAUAGAAAUUAAAGGCUUUGUAUCUAUCUACAUAAACCCCCCAUAACCUUGGAUCCCUGCACAAUUCAAGCACUACUAGUACGUUCAAGUAAUCCAUCUACCUCUCUGCCAAGAUGUGGAAGAGCAUCAUCAAUCACCAAAAUCAUCCUUACUCUCUCAUAUUUUACUUCAUCAAGAUCCUCUUCACCAUCAUCAUCUCCUGCUGCUGUCCAUACGUCUCAUGUUAUUCCAAUGCCUCUACCACUUCCUCUUCACAAAGAUUAUUAUGCCUCCCUCACCAGCGCUCUGCUUUGUUGCAGUUCAAACAGGAGUUGGUUUUAAUAGGUUCAUGAAAUUGAUCGUUUAUUUGGGAGGAGGCUUGAAGCACUUCUUGACUUUCAUUUGGUUUUAAUAGGUUUAGAGAUUUGUUUACAAAUGGAAUCGGGGAGGAACUGAAUUUGGAUUGGAAAAUGAUGAUAACAAUGGAACCCAAGGAAAAAAAAGGAAAAAAAAAAAAAAAAAAGAGUUAGAUAAAAAUGUUGUCACGGUUUUCUUCGAGUAAGCCAAUCGAAUUGAGUUCCAAGCUCAAAUACUGUAUUGGUUCAAAUAAAAUCUCCCCAGAAAAAAAGAAAAUGAAAAAAAAAACACAUUUUGAUGUACAUACAGAUUGUGAAUAAGAAACAUGGAUUUAGGAUUAAAAAUGGAUAAAUGUUCCUUAGCAUUUAGUGUCUUUUUCACCAAUUUGUAACUUUUUAGAAUUUUGUAGGUAACAAUAAUAAUAAUAAACCUCAAUGAAGCUGGCUCAAAAUAAAUGAUCCUAAAGUGCAUUUAACCCAAUUUUAUAGUAAUGAUCAUGUUUGAGAGAGAAUUUCAUCUAUCUCCCGUAAAUUCGAAAAGAAUUCGUUGAUGCCUCUAAAUUUCAAAAAUGAUCAUUUAUCUUUGAGAUUUGGAUAAAUUAGAGUAUACACCUCCGCCGAUUUUAAUCACAGAGCAGCCUAAUCUCUACAGCAUUCAUCCCGAACAUCUUGUUAGUUUCUUUUUUCUCCUAUCCCAUUUCUCUUUCUUACAACCCACUUCAAAUUUUGUUAUUAAUAUAGACACUGAAACUAAGACACUAAUUAACGAUUUCAUUCUAGAUUCUUGAUGAUGUCACUGGCAAUUUUUUUAUGGGCUUUUAACUUUAUAUAUAUAUAUAUAUAUAUGUAUGCUUGUUGAGUUUCUUGAAUUUAUACAUAUAUAUAUUUGGUAAUGAUACAGAGGAUCAUCAGUUGAGGGAUGGACAGCAACCCAUGUUUUUAUACACCCAAAGAAGAAUAAAGAGUAAUGGAGAAGACGUCAUUUUGGAGAAAGUUGAUGGGUUUGGAAGAUUCGUCAAGCUGAUAUACCUGUGAAGGAGGAUUGGCAGAUUAUUUGGCUCAAAAAUAGACUUCAAUUAUCAGGAAAUCGGAGAAGUGAAACACAGUGGAGGAUGAAUGAAUACAGACUCAAUCAAAAUGAAGAGGAGAGCAACAUUACUGAGAGGUCAAUGGAAACAAAGCACCACCAAAGAGGAAGAGGAAAACAGAAUCUUCAGAAUUGUUGCUGACAACUGUGGCAUCAUGAACAGCUUGUCAUCAUGAACAGCUUGUCAAGCUUCUGAAUAAUAUUUUGUAGUUUUCUGUGUUUUGAUUUUC